rnacentral:rRNA from 1 species
AACGUAGGAGACAAACGUUAUCCGGAGUUACUGGGCGUAAAGGGCGUGUAGGUGGUAAUGUAAGUCUGGCGUGAAAUUUUUCGGCUUAACCGGGAAAGGUCGCCGGAUACUGCAUCACUAGAGGACGGUAGAGGCGUGUGGAAUUCCGGGUGUAGUGGUGAAAUGCGUAGAGAUCCGGAGGAACACCAGUGGCGAAGGCGACACGCUGGGCCGUACCUGACACUGAUGCGCGACAGCAUGGGGAGCAAACAGG